rnacentral:rRNA from 1 species
GAAACUUAAAGGAAUUGGCGGGGGAGCACCACAAGGGGUGAAGCCUGCGGUUCAAUUGGAGUCAACGCCAGAAAUCUUACCCGGAGAGACAGCAGAAUGAAGGUCAAGCUGAAGACUUUACCAGACAAGCUGAGAGGUGGUGCAUGGCCGUCGCCAGCUCGUGCCGUGAGAUGUCCUGUUAAGUCAGGUAACGAGCGAGAUCCCUGCCUCUAGUUGCCACCAUUACUCUCAGGAGUAGUGGGGCGAAUUAGCGGGACCGCCGCAGUUAAUGCGGAGGAAGGAAGGGGCCACGGCAGGUCAGUAUGCCCCGAAACUCUGGGGCCACACGCGGGCUGCAAUGGUAAUGACAAUGGGUUCCAAAUCCGAAAGGAGGAGGUAAUCCCCAAACAUUACCACAGUUAUGACUGAGGGCUGCAACUCGCCCUCACGAAUAUGGAAUCCCUAGUAACUGCGUGUCAUUAUCGCGCGGUGAAUACGUCCCUGCUCCUUGCACACACCGCCCGUCGUUUCAUUGAAGUGAGCUUUUAGCGAGGUGACGUCUGAUUGGCGUUAUCGAACUUGAGGUUCGUGACAAGGGAAAAGUCGUAACAA